rnacentral:lncRNA from 1 species
UUUCUCUUCGAGGUGACUUUGAAGCUUGCAGCAUUGAUUUUGCGAUAUGUUCAAGAACAUCAACGACUUGGGGAGUUCCAGAUCUGAAGAAGCACAUGAACAAAAGGUUUCGGAGUAGAAAGCCCGCUCACCUGGAUCAACGUGGCUGAUAGAAUUGUUGGAGGCGUCAAGGAAAGCGAGCUUUGGCAGUGAUUGCAGACCUUGCAAACUGGUAAGGUGGUUCCCAGAAACGGUGAGGAAUUGCAGGUGCUUGGCGGCUUCUAUGCCAUUCAAGGUUGUGAGCUCGUUCUUCAGUAAAACAGGUCAGGUUAUUUCAGAAGGAUGGACAGAUAGUGGACUACUACCUCUUGGAGAUAUAGGCUGGUUAGAUUUCGUAGGCACAGGAAGAAGGCAGGCUCUAGUAACAGGAUGUGCUCACGGUCAAGACGAACGUGUGUUAGUCCUUUCAAGGCUUCUUCUCUGGUUGGACAGCAGUGAGUUUUCAGAGCCCGAGCUAGCCAAGGUAACUCACAUUGCGUGUGCGGAUGCUACGUCCAAGAACUGGGAUGGGAGGUUCCUUUCGGCAACCAUGGCAGCCCAAAGAGCCAUUGCUUCUCUUCGAAGAUGAAGCUCUUCCUGCCAGUCUCGUUCUUCCAUGGUCCGUGCCGUCUCUGUGCUUCGAAUUUGAAACUUAACCGCGAAAGGUGAAAUCGCCGGCUGUUCGGCCGACGGUUUCGACGGUUGUUUGUCAGGUAAAGAAUGUAUGUUUUUUACUUCUCAAAAGUGUCUAUACAGGCCGAAGGACGCCGGAGCAUUGCUAAACGCAACUUGGUCUCGAUGAUGAUGGGAGGAGCUAUUGCGAACUCAGGUAUGUCAUCGUUCUUCGGGCUUGUUCUUAUCACUCCUCCGGCUGGCUGCUUGUUCCUUUGUUCGAUGCAUCAUAUCUUCUCCACUCCCAGCUGCGUUUUCAAGCUUCGAAAGAACCGCGUCCUUAGCUGACUGAAUGAAGCUCUUACUCCGCUCCUGCCUGUCGUGAACAGUCGCCUGGACGUUCUCUCGAGUGUCGUUGAUGUACUGCUUUGUUGCGUUCCAUGCAUCCGCUGUGCCUUGAGAAGCCUCAUCCUUUUGCUGCCUUAGCAUCUGUCCUGCGUUGUACGCUGCUUGUUCUAUUUUCGCGAGCCCAGACUGUAGAAGUCCCCGCUGGUCUUCGGCUUUCUCUUUAGAUUCGUUGGCUGUUUCUGUUGCUCUGUGACGAGCAUCAUCAGCUACUUGUCUGUGCUGGUGCGCCCUGUCGUGUGUACUUCCCAGCAUGUCCUCGGCUUUGAGCUUUCCUUUCUCUCUUGUUUCCUCAAGCUUUUCCUUGGAGACUUGAACUGUUUCUUUUGCCUUGCCAAAUAUGUCUUCGGCUUUGAGCUUUCCCUUCUCACGCAGCUCCUCGUCCGCGCGUCUGGUGUUUUCACUCUUUUCGUAUGUAUUCUCUCUCGCUUUGCCGAGCAUGCCCUCUGCUUUCAGUUUUCCCCGCUCCCGAAUUUCUUCGUCUUUGCGUCUGGUUUCCUCACUUAUCUCGCUGCUUUUUUCUCUUGACUUGCCAAACAUGUCUUCUGCCUUUAGCUUCCCUCGCUCUCGUAGCUCUUGGUCGCUUUGAGCUCUUUCUGCAGUCUGUAAGGUUAUUAGAGAGUGAUUCGAUCAAACUGUCGACUGUUUUACCCAAUCUUUCACAGCUUGCAACAGUCCCUUGUCCUUGACCUCCUCAGCGGCGUCAUCUGCCGUGUCAUAAACACCUUUUCCUGCCUUUCUGAUUCGAUCAGAUGCCUCAUCGCUGCUAAUGUUUAUCCUCGUUUUGAGAUCGUCCAGCGCUUCUUCAGACUUGGCUUUGGCCUGUGAUAUCUUUUCUUGUACGAAGCCUUUUCCUUGCUCCGCCCGGGCUUGUGCUUCAUGCUUAGCUCUAUCAGCGGUCUCUUGACUGGUCUUUUUCGUCUCGUGCCACCUCCCCUCGGACCUGUCAGCAGCGUCUUGGCCUUUCGUCUUAGCCUCCUCGACGACGUCUUUUACUCCACCUGCAAACUUUUGAGCCUGUUACAACGUUUUUUCUUUUAGUUAUGAAGUUUACCUCUCGUGCUGUCGCUCGUUUCUCUGGACCUCUCUUUUGUUUGAUCUGCAGCCUCAUGACCUUUAUCUCUGAGUUCUCGUCCUUGGUCGGACUCUCCCGUCACGAAUGCUGCUACUGAUUGUGCCAUGGACUGAAUGAAGCCUUUCUCUUCGUAAGCUUUAUCUCUUGCUUGAUUAGCAAACUGCCGUCCUUUGUGUUGAACCUCAUCCAAAGUUUCUCGACCUUUUUGCUUGGCUUCAUUGGAUGUGCUUUUUGUUCUCUCUUGCAUUUCUCGUCCCUUAUCUGAUUCACGAGUUCGUUACAGACUUCAUGAAGCCUUUGUUAUGAACUUUACCUUUCGCCGCGUCUGCUGUCUCUUGUCCUCUCCCUUUUACGUCUUGAGAUUUUGGUUUGGACUGGUCAGCAAAUUGUCGAGCUUUGUCUCCAGCUCGCUCUGUAUCAGCUUGAUCAGCAACUUGCUGUCCUUUGUGCCGAGCUUCAUCUGAAGCUUCCCGGCCCCUUUGCUUUACUUCUUCGGCUGUGCUUCUGGUUCUGUCUUGCAUUUCCCGCCCCUUAUCUGAUUCACCCGUGACGAAUGAAGUGACCGAGUCUGUUAUCGAUUGCAUGAAUCCCUUUUCCUCUUGCGCUUUACCUUUCGCUGCAUCAGCCAUCCCUUGUCCUCUCUCUUUCACUUCUUGAGAUUUUUGUUUUGACUGGUCUGCGAAUUCUCGGCCUUUGUCCCGAGUUUCAGCGGCAUGGUGUUCUGACUUUCCUCUUGCUUGAUCAGCGACUUGAUUUCCUUUUUGUCUAGCCUCAUCCGAAGUUUCUCGGCCUUUUCGCUUGACUUCAUCAGCUGUGCUUCUCGCUUUGUCUUGCAUCUCUCGCCCCUCGUCUGAUUCACCGGUGACGAAUGCCGUGACUGAGUCUGUUAUUGACUGCAUGAAUCCCUUCUCCUCUUGCGCUUUACGUCUCGUUGCAUCAGACAUCUCUUGUCCUCGCUCUUUCACGUCUUGAGUUUUUUGCUUGGACUGGUCAGCAAAUUGUCGACCUUUGUCCCGAGCCUCAGCAGCGUGGUGUUCCGACUUUCCUCUUGCUUGAUCGACAACAUGCUCUCCUUUUUCUCGAGCCUCAUUCGAAGUUUCUCGGCCUUUUUGCUUGGCUUCAUCGGCUGUGCUUCUCGUUUUCUCUUGCAUUUCUCGUCCUUUGUCUGAUUCUCCAGAGACAAGCACGGUCCGUUAUUGCAUAAAUCCCUUCUCUUGUCUAGCCUCACCUUUUGCUGCAUCAGCCAUAUCUUGUCCUCUCUCUUUUACGUCUUGAGAUUUUUGUUUCGACUGAUUGGCGAACUGCUGGCCCUUUCGUUGAGCUUCACCCGAGGUCUCGUGAGCCUUCUGCUUUGUUUCAUCAACUUUUCCCCUGGUUUUCUCCUGGAUCUCUCGUCCCUUGUCUGGUUCACCCGUGACAAACGCAGUGACCGAGUCGGUUAUGGACUGCAUGAAUCCCCUCUCCUCUUGAGCUUUACCUCUCGUCGCAUCAGCCAUCUCGUGAGACUUUUGUUUGGUCUCGUCGGCUUUCUCCCUCGUUUUAUCGGCAGCCUGCUUGCUUUUCUCCCGAGCAUCGUGGGACGUUGUAUCGGCCGUGUCUUUCAUUCUAUCCCGGAUCUCCCGUCCUUCCUCUGAUUCACCCGAAAGAAGCGAGCUUGCUGAGUCUGUGAUGGACUGCAAAAAACCUUUUUCUUCAUAUACUUGAUCACUGGCUGUACCUUGUCCUCUCUCCUUCGUUUCUUGCAUUUUAUUUCUUGCAUCGUGAGCUACCUGUCGUCCCUUGUUGCUCGUGUCGUCGGCUUUUUCCCUCGCCUGAUCACCAAACUCUUGGCCUUUCUCCCGAGCUGCCUGCGAUGUUCUAUCAGCGGUGUCCUUCAUUCUGUCCCGGAUCGCCCGUCCUUCCUCUGAUUCACCCGAAAGAAACGCAGUUGCUGAGUCUGUGAUGGACUGCAAAAAACCUUUCUCUUCGUGAACUUGAUCACUGGCUGUACCUUGUCCUCUCUCUUUCAUGUCUUGCAUUUUAUCCCGUGCAUCGUGAGCUACAAGUCGGCCUUUGUUGCUAACCUCGUCCGCUUUCUGCCUCACUUGAUCGCCAUACUCUUGGCCUUUCUGUGACACUCCACUCGCAGUGUCUUGGGCUUUUUGCUUCGUUUCGUCGAUAGUGCUUCUGGUUUUGCCUCUAAACUCCCGUCCUUGUUCGGAUUCACCCGUCACAAAUCCAGCUACAGAAUCUGCCACGGAUUGGAGGAAACCUUUGCCUUCGUUCCCUUUCUCUCUCGCUUCAUCCGCAACCUGACGUCCUGUGCGUCUUGCUUCGUCCGCGUGACUGCCAACUUUCUCUUUCGUUUGAUCCAGUACUUGCUCGCCUUUUUUCUUUGUUUCGAGAGAAGCCUCUCUAGCAUCUUUGGACGUUUGAUCCACGGCUUGCUGACCUCUGUGCUUUGCCUCGUGAGAAGUCUCCUUUGCGUUGUCUGUGGCAUCUCUUGACAGUUGCUUGUUUCCUUCCACUGCUUGCUGGCCUUUGUUCUUGGUUUCGUGAGAAGUCUCUUUCGUUUUCCCCGCAGCGUCUCCUGCGACUUGCUUGCCUCGCUCAGCAGCGUCUUCGUGUCCUAUGCUUCCUCCCUCGGGUUUUGACGUAGCCGACGAGAUCGCCUCGGCUGCUUUGUCAUACGCUGCCAGGAGAAAUCCUCGCUGAAACCAGCCUUCUCCUUCUCCGCCCCGUCUCUCCUCGGCUUCCCGUGCUGCCUGGUGUGCCGCUGCCGCUUGCUCGCUGGCCUUGUUUUUCGUGCUCUCGUAAGCACUUUUGGCUCGCUCUUGUCCCUCUCCAAUCCUCUCUUGCGCGGCCACCUUUUGCUCGCCGGCUUUGUUCUUUGCAUUCUCGUAAGCGUUGCUGGCUCGCUCUUGUCCCUCCCCAAUGCUCUCCUGCGCCGCCACCUUCUUCUCGCUAGCCUUGAUCUUUGCAUUCUCGUAGAGAUUCCUGGCUCGCUCUUGUCCCUCCCCGAUAGUUUCCUGUGCUGCUACCUUUUGCUCGUUGGCCUUGCUCUUGACGUUCUCGUAUGCUGACUUUGUUUUCUCUUUGGCUCCAGAGUAGCUCUCCUGUGCGUCGUCCUUUGCUAUCCCGAGAGCUGCUCCAAGGCCCUGGCUCAGAGCUUGAGCUGCCUCUCUCGCUUUCGCUAGGCUGUAACGACGACACAACUUACACAGUGUAAGCAAACGCUUGAGCUCUCUUCGCUACUUUCCAAACUCAAAGAAUGAAUCUAUGAUCAAGCAGGCAAACUUCUCGAGAUCGAGCAACACGGUCCAAGGAAAAGAAUUUGAUCAAGAAAAGAUACGCAGUGUAAGCAAACGCUUGAUACCUAUACUUGCAAACUCUAAGGAUGCAUCUCAUCGCAGGAUGAUCAAGCAGGCAAACUUUUAUAGAGGGAGCAACGCGAUCCAAGGAAAAGAAUUUGAUCGAGAAAAGAGAAGAUUUACCCCUCACUUCCAGCGUUCUUGGCGUCUCCAAAAUGCUGCCGCGGGUCUCGAUCUUUACUGCGAUGUUCUCGGUCGUCCUCCGCCAUGCUUGUUCGUUCGUUUUCUUCCCUCUUCUUUUUUAUACUCUCCAGGGGAUGAAAUUCUCCUCGAGUCACGACUGUUUGUCAUGCGUGGCCUCCACGUCAACUUUUAAUCAACACGUGUACUUCGUUUU